CAGUAGCCGCGGUAAUACAGAGGGUGCGAGCGUUAAUCGGAUUUACUGGGCGUAAAGCGUGCGUAGGCGGCUUCUUAAGUCGGAUGUGAAAUCCCUGAGCUUAACUUAGGAAUUGCAUUCGAUACUGGGAAGCUAGAGUAUGGGAGAGGAUGGUAGAAUUCCAGGUGUAGCGAUGAAAUGCGUAGAGAUCUGGAGGAAUACCGAUGGCGAAGGCAGCCAUCUGGCCUAAUACUGACGCUGAGGUACGAAAGCAUGGGGAGCAAACAGGAUUAGAUACCCCAGUAGUCCCUGUCUCUUAUAC
rnacentral:rRNA from 1 species